AUGAACGCUGGCGGCGUGCCUAAUACAUGCAAGUCGAGCGAACGGACGAGAAGCUUGCUUCUCUGAUGUUAGCGGCGGACGGGUGAGUAACACGUGGAUAACCUACCUAUAAGACUGGGAUAACUUCGGGAAACCGGAGCUAAUACCGGAUGAUAUUUUGAACCGCAUGGUUCAAAAGUGAAAGACGGUCUUGCUGUCACUUAUAGAUGGAUCCGCGCUGCAUUAGUUAGUUGGUAAGGUAACGGCUUACCAAGGCAACGAUGCAUAGCCGACCUGAGAGGGUGAUCGGCCACACGGGAACUGAGACACGGUCCAGACUCCUACGGGAGGCAGCAGUAGGGAAUCUUCCGCAAUGGUCGAAAGCCUGACGGAGCAACGCCGCGUGAGUGAUGAAGGUCUUCGGAUCGUAAAACUCUGUUAUUAGGGAAGAACAUAUGUGUAAGUAACUGUGCACAUCUUGACGGUACCUAAUCAGAAAGCCACGGCUAACUACGUG
rnacentral:rRNA from 1 species